UAACGCGAAGAACCUUACCUACCCUUGACAUGGAUGGAAUCCCUGAGAGAUUGGGGAGUGCCCGAAAGGGAACCAUUACACAGGUGCUGCAUGGCUGUCGUCAGCUCGUGUCGUGAGAUGUUGGGUUAAGUCCCGCAACGAGCGCAACCCUUGUCAUUAGUUGCUACGAAAGGGCACUCUAAUGAGACUGCCGGUGACAAACCGGAGGAAGGUGGGGAUGACGUCAAGUCCUCAUGGCCCUUAUGGGUAGGGCUUCACACGUCAUACAAUGGUACAUACAGAGGGCCGCCAACCCGCGAGGGGGAGCUAAUCCCAGAAAGUGUAUCGUAGUCCGGAUUGUAGUCUGCAACUCGACUGCAUGAAGUUGGAAUCGCUAGUAAUCGCGGAUCAGCAUGUCGCGGUGAAUACGUUCCCGGGUCUUGUACACA
rnacentral:rRNA from 1 species